rnacentral:rRNA from 1 species
CCUACGGGAGGCAGCAGUGGGGAAUCUUGCGCAAUGGGCGAAAGCCUGACGCAGCGACGCCGCGUGGGUGAUGAAGGCCUUCGGGUUGUAAAGCCCUGUGAGGCGAGGCCCGGUACCCCUUUAGCAAGCACCGGCUAACUCUGUGCCAGCAGCCGCGGUAAGACAGAGGGUGCAAACGUUGUUCGGAAUUACUGGGCGUAAAGCGCGUGUAGGCGGCUUGGCAAGUCGGGUGUGAAAGCCCUGGGCUCAACCUAGGAAGUGCACUCGAAACUGCUUCGCUUGAGUGUCGGAGAGGAAAGCGGAAUUCUCGGUGUAGAGGUGAAAUUCGUAGAUAUCGAGAGGAACACCGGUGGCGAAGGCGGCUUUCUGGACAUACUGACGCUGAGACGCGAAAGCGUGGGGAGCAAACAGGAUUAGAUACCCUUGUAGUC